GGAGCUCCGCAGCUUAGCUAAGGUUUGAAGGCAUGUGUGUUUUAUUGUGCUGCGGUGAUGCAAGAUUCUUAUCAGCGUGUUAAAACAAUGAUGCAGCAGUUAUGGGCCGCCAAGCGCCGGUGCCUGUGCCAGCACACUGGGGCAGUCGUGCCAGGGACGUGAGUGUGCCACCCUCUCGAAUCUGGGCAUUCCCUGCGCCCCUGUUUGCACUUCACUCUGCUGUUGUCUAAACCAUGAGUGAAACCAAAAACAGAAGUCGCUGUGAGGCAGCAAAACCCGAUCUCAUCCCCUGGGUCACGUUUCGCUGUCCCACCUGGAGCGAGGCUGCGGUGGCUGCUGCGCAGCUGCGGGCAGAACCCUCUCGGGCAGGAGUUUCUCCACGAUCAGUGAUGCCUCACCAAGAAAAACACCGGGAGUCAGACGUUAGAGAGACCCAAAUGAAGUCUGUGGAGCAAAGCGUCUCAAGUUGCUCCCUGGAUCCACAGUAGCUGCAAGAACCUUCCUGUGGCACAAACGGACUCCACACUGAUGCUCUUACAGUGCUUCUAGAGUGACCACCAAGUUCAAACUCAGCCUUGAUAUACACAUCUCAUUUAUCUGCAAUUUUGAACAGCAUAAAAGGAGCCUGGCUGCUUUUUAAAUAAUGCGAUCGACACUUCGUCGAGUCACCAGCGUGUAUGACCUGUCCCUUUACAGUCACAGCAGGACCUCAUUGCCUGCACAAUGCUGCAACACUGUGGUCAACAGAUCUGCCUCAGCUCCCUGCUCGCCCUCCUCUUGAGAGUCCUCCAUGGCAUGAUGAAGGGAAAGAGAAGCAAAGGUAAUAUAACAGUUAGAAUAAAAUUGUUAUACUCCUAGGAAUCCUUCACCUUAAACCUGUGACUAAAUAAAUAAAUAAAUAAAUAUGUAAAUAUUAUUCUUUAAAACUCCAAUUUGAGUUACAAUGCUGUCAGAAGGUGGCACUUUCACAUGGGCUAAGGCAUUAGCUUUGUCAUUUCUUUACUCAAGAGGUGCGACCCAUUAGCCACAACCCAAAUCACCGUAUCUGCGUUUCUCCAUUACCCAAAUCCAAGGAGAAUUAAUCUAAUAGAGGCACAAAGGUCAUUGCAAUGUAUGUUUGUAUUUAUACAAGGGAGUUGAUGCUUUACUGCCAGAUAGAGGUGUAACAUAAUUUGAUUCAAGAGAAUUAAUCCUUACUGACCACAGCGUAAGUGUGAUAAAAGUGUGCUCCUGUUCAUUUACAGGAGUCUUCUGGAUUCAAGAUGUAUGUCCUC